AGAAUCUUCCGCAAUGGACGAAAGUCUGACGGAGCGACGCCGCGUGGAGGAUGAAGGCCUUCGGGUUGUAAACUCCUGUCACGAGUUAAGAAGAUGCCACGGCGAACAGCCGUGAUGUUUGACGUAAGCUCGAGAGGAAGCACUGGCUAACUCUGUGCCAGCAGCCGCGGUAAUACAGAGAGUGCAAACGUUGUUCGGAAUCACUGGGCUUAAAGCGCACGUAGGCGGCAUUGUAAGUGUCGGGUGAAAGCCCACGGCUCACCCGUGGAAUUGCCCGGCAGACUGCAGUGCUAGAGUGUGGUAGGGGAGAGCGGAACUCCUGGUGGAGCGGUGAAAUGCGUAGAUAUCAGGAGGAACACCGGUGGCGAAGGCGGCUCUCUGGUCCAUAACUGACGCUGAGGUGCGAAAGCUAGGGUAGCGAAC
rnacentral:rRNA from 1 species